rnacentral:rRNA from 1 species
GAUGAACGCUGGCGGCGUACCUAAUACAUGCAAGUCGAGCGAACAGACGAGGAGCUUGCUCCUCUGACGUUAGCGGCGGACGGGUGAGUAACACGUGGAUAACCUACCUAUAAGACUGGGAUAACUUCGGGAAACCGGAGCUAAUACCGGAUAAUAUAUUGAACCGCAUGGUUCAAUAGUGAAAGACGGUUUUGCUGUCACUUAUAGAUGGAUCCGCGCCGCAUUAGCUAGUUGGUAAGGUAACGGCUUACCAAGGCAACGAUGCGUAGCCGACCUGAGAGGGUGAUCGGCCACACUGGAACUGGGACACGGUCCAGACUCCUACGGGAGGCAGCAGUAGGGAAUCUUCCGCAAUGGGCGAAAGCCUGACGGAGCAACGCCGCGUGAGUGAUGAAGGUCUUCGGAUCGUAAAACUCUGUUAUUAGGGAAGAACAAAUGUGUAAGUAACUAUGCACGUCUUGACGGUACCUAAUCAGAAAGCCACGGCUAACUACGUGC